AUGCUGCAGCCGGGGACACACAGGCCGACCCUGCGGUUGGUGCCUGAUGGUUCGAAUGGCCUCACCUCCGGCGAGCUGCUGCUCCAGCACGGUCCUAGCGCAACGGAUCUGAGGCUUUUGGGCCCGGCCACCGGGCAGCCUAUUUCGUGGAGCUCCCUCGCCGCUGAAGAUGAAGAUGAAGACGAGGAUGAUGAAGAGCUAGUCCCGCGAACACCAACAUCGGCUGCCAAAUGCUCAGUUCCGCCCACUCGGCCGUGCGUGGUGCAUGAGACAGAGGCUUGUGGGGGUUGGCGGAAGGUUUUGCCGCGGCGAGGCCCGCGUCAUUCAACGCUGUCGGCUCCUGUAGUGGCUCCUCGCCCCCUUCCGGCUUGGCUUCAUGGUCGAUGUUGUAGAUGCCUUUUUCAUGGGCAUCGUGCAGCGGAUUGCAGAGACCCGUUUAUGUGCUCUCGGUGCCUUGAGAAUGGCCACCGCGCGCGCGGAUGUCGCAAUGCGUGGCGUCCGCUCAGCUUGUUGGCAAGUCUUGCCGCAUCGCCUUUGACAUGUCCCGUCGCCGAGCAUCGUGAAGCUCCAGCUCCUUGCCAGGCCCAGAUAGAAGCCCCAAUCCUUCCCAAGACGUUUCGUCGCGAUUCUUGGGCAUCCAUUGUUUCUGCUCCUGUUGCCUCUGUGGCCAUGGCAGAUGUGUCAUUGCGGUCCACCAUGGAGGGACAAGCGGAGCUGCUGCGCUCUGAGCUCCUCAACAUGGCUUCCUUUCGACUCGAGGAAACGGUUCAACCUCUGCGCGAUGUCAUUGACUCCAUGAAAGGUUGGAUGCUUCAGAUGGGGAACUUUCUUGAGCGAGCUGAGGCUGUUCUGAGUGGGCUCUUGCAGGUGUCACCUGUGUUGCAAACUGCUCCUAUGCAGCACCCCCUGAUUGUGCCUGAUGUCAACCUUGAGGACGAGAAUGGAGAUGGGCUUCAUGGACGUUUCUCUCCUCGUGCUGGGGUUGGAUCACCGUUAUCUGCCUCUGAGGGUUCGUGCAUUGAUGUGGUUGUGGCUCCGGUGCUACAGAUAAUGCCCGAGCUUCUGGAGCUGUGUGGGGAGUCGACUCCGCCUCUGUCCGUCGAGCAACUGAAGGUGGACCCCCUCGAGAGCUCGGUUGUGGCAUUACCACCAUUACCACCCCUCGAGCCCAGCCAGAUGCUCGACUCCGAGAAGGGGGAUUCCGACGUUGCAAUGUCUUGCUCGUCCGUGUCCAUUGGGCAAGUGGUUCCUGUAGGUGAUAUGGUUGUCGCACCCAGAGCAUUGGCUCGUGUGCCUGGGGCUCUCAUAGCGAAAGAGAUUUGUCAUUUCCUCGCUACCUUGGACGCUGCUAACCCUGGAUCCGGCAAGACGAUUGGGUGUCUCCUUAAGGAGAAGGCCAUCAGGGAUAAGAAAAGUGGUGGUGCUAGCUCUCGUCCUGUCGUCUUGAAGGAGAAAUCAAACAAGUGCAGAACCAAGAAGAGUGGCGCUAUAGAAAAGGCGUCGGUGAUUGCUUGA
rnacentral:rRNA from 1 species